CUUUAUCGGUACCCUACCUUCCCCCUGGAUGUAUUAUAAGAGCAAUCGGAUGCAGUUGCUAGGCGCCAUAGAACUUGCUGACCAAUUGGCGUUUUUUCUGCCGUUGUUAGCUAGUGUAUGUGUUGUUAUUGGCCGCAUUGUGUGUCGUCAUCGGCCUUUGACCUUCUUGGGAGGAGCCAGAGAGGCGGAGAAACGAAGUCGGAAAGCAGAUAAAACCCAAUGAUUGAUCGUUUCCUCGGUUUGUCAGUUCUGUGAGAAAACUUAAUUACCGGAGAAGUCUGGAUGCUUAAACAAGCUUUGGAGAUGCUGUUUUGUCGAACAUGAAUGAGGCUGGACACCGAAUACACCAGCGACACCAAGCGUCCCUGACAUGAGUUGUGGGCACCUUACGGAGGCAAGGCAAGGUCUACUUGUUCAGCUGCUCCAGCUUCGACAGAGACACCAAUAACAUCACCUUACAGACCAACAGGUAUCAUCACUUGGUCCACGAUCGGACAGACGUUGUCCGCAAUCAUAGAGAUGUAGUCCACGAUCUCAGAGAGUCUUCGUACGAUGAGGAACUUCUUUGAGGCCUCCAGGUAAUUUACAAACAGCUUUACAUCAACUGUCCAACACAGAACAUUGACAUUAAAUUAUAUAUCUUCAGUAAUUGAUCUGAAGUUUCAAUAGUUUGAUUUGUCACAAAAAGACUUCUCAUUAUUUAUUUACAUAGUUCAUGAAUGUACAGUUCAAAGAAAAUGAAUUUAAAACAUCAGUGUUAUCAUAGAAGUAAAAAAUAAUGUAUGAGCAAUCUGUAUUAACAGAAGUAAUGUAUAAAUAGUAAUAUUAAAAGUAAGAUUUAAUAGUCAAAGUAAUCUGUUACUAGAUGUAGUUUGCAACAGUAAGACUUACCUGUAAAUUUAGAAGUAAUAUAUAAUAAGAAAAGUGAUAUGUAAUGGUUAAUAUAAUAUUAGAGGUAACAGUAAAAGUAAUCUUUAAUAUAAAAGCAAUGCAGAAGCAAUAGUAAUCCAAAAUAGAAGUAAAAAUGUCACCUAAGAGAUCAAAAAUGUCAUUAGAGAAAGCCCGAAAAAUGUCAUAUUUCAGUAAGCCAUGUAAAAUCAUCAAAUAUUCUGGUUCAGCUGUAAUGUUAAAUAUUUAUCUGUGUUUUCAUGGUUAAACUGUUGAUGAGGAAUGGGUAGUAGUGUAUUGAUCAUUUUCCUUUGUAUGUUUCUCUUUGAUUUCCUCUAGGUGUCACAACUUUGUCCAUGACCAGAGACAUAUUUUGUCAGUCUGUACUUGUACACUUGUAGCUGGAGGUUAGGGUUAGGGCUUUUAGCCAGAGAUUAGUUUUUAGCCUCAAUUAGACAAUUUAAUUGUAAGCUGCAAGCAGAGAAUAGUUGGCAUUUCUGCAUUACAAAAUCAUUUUUGUGAUAAUUCGAAACUCAAAAGUUAAGCUACAAAACUAUUGAGUCUGUUCUAAACAACAUUUAACAAACCACAGCGAAGAUAAUGACAAUGAUGUUUGACCACUUGGAGACAGUUUGUUUUAUUCUCUCACCCCAAACUUAAUGUAGUGAUGAGCACAUAUGAUGAUAUGCUUACUGAAGUCUUAUACAUCACUAAACAUCUUAAAGAAUAUUUAACUGCUUUUGUUGUCCUCUUCGGGUGAUGCAGUCUUCUCCUCCUCCUGCAGAGACAGAACAUGUUAAUCACAGAAACUGUCCAAAACUUCAAGUUCUGAAACUUUAUUACAAAUAGAAUUAAAAAGAAAAAGACAAAGUUAAUUAUCCCUCAAAUGCCUCUAUUACUACAUACUUUUCCUAUUCUUGUAGCUUUCUGACCACAAACUAUACUGAAACUAUACUCCCAUUUUUGUGCCUGACUGUACGAUGACAUUUUUAUUUAUUUAUUUAUUUUUUUUUUAAACCAUUUUUGAUGCUUCCCUAUACUGUGGUGUUUUUUGACAUUUCUGACCACAAACUAUACUGACAUUUUUUCACAUUUUUAUGCCUUACUAUGCUAUGACUUUUUUUCAAACCAUUUUUGAUGCCUUACUAUACUGUGGCAUUUUUUGACCACACAGUAUACUGUGGUGUUUUUUAUGCCUUACUAUAACAUGACAUUUUUACUUCUAUUUUGGAUUCUAUAUUACAGAUUACUUUUACCUCUAAUAUUAGAUUACUUUUUAAAAAAUUAAAUAUUACUUCUAAAUUUACAGAUAACUUUUAAUGUUGCAAUUAUUUGCAUUACAUCUUACUUCUGAUAUUACUAGAGAUCAUGUAUACAUUAGUUUUAUAUUGCAGAUUACUUCUAUUGUUACACUUUUCUGAUAUACUGAAUACUGAACAUAAACAAUUUAAUGUCAGUGCUCUGUGUUGGACAGUUGAUGUAAAGCUGUUUGUCAUUUACCUGGAGGCCUCAAAGAAGUUCCUCAUCGUACGAAGACACUCUGAGAUCGUGGACGAUGUCAUCUGGAAGAAAUCAAAGAGAAACAUACAGAGGAAAAUGAUCAGUACACUACUACCUAUUCCUCAUCAACAGUUUGAUGAAACACAGAUAAAUACUCAAUAUUACAGCUGAACCAAAACAUUUAACAAACAUUAGGGGGCUGUUUCAGAAAAUAAAGAGUUGACUGUCAUCACCUCCUGAAGAACAAACAACAACAAAUAUUUGGGAAAAAGUAUAAUGAUUAUUAACUGUGUGUCUAUUAACUAAUUACUGAAGCAAUCAUGUAUGUUACUGUGAAGUGCACAACAAUAAUAAACACUAUCAGUUGAGUAAAUUUUUGUAUGCAGGAUUUUAACUUGUGUUGUCUAUUAUUCUUUAGUAAAAAGUCUGAGUAUUUCUUCCUCCGCAGAUGGUCAUAUACAGGAUCAUUAUUUCACAUUUCAACAUUAUUAUUAUUAACACAUAUUUACAAUAUUUUUGUGUUGUUUCAGUUUAAUGAAUAAUAAGUAAAUUUAAGUGUAGAACUGGUCGUUAUGCACUGUAAAGAUAUUUUUAAAAUCACCCUCUGAUUACCAGUUAAAAUUAACAUGAACAACUCACUCCAAAGUUUUAUUGAAAUUGUUUUGUAUGGUGUAGUCUAGUGUGUCUAGCACAUAAACAUAAUUAUGUACAAUUAAACUGAAGUUAAGAUAUUUUUCAGUCCCAUUUUGACUGAUCCUUAACAAAAACAAUCCAAGACAGAAAAUGUAGCAUUUGUUGAUUCUGAUGUAUUUGAUAUCAUUUGGUGAGAAGGUGAGGAGAGCCACAGUCAAUUUGUCCACAGACAGAACAUUGACAACUAUUCAUAUUUUUUUAAACCAAGAAUUCAAAUAUUUGCUUGGAGGCAGCGAGAGAGAGAGGGAAAGGAGACAGAAAGAGAGCAAGUGUGAGAAUUAGAAAGAGUGAGGGAGAGAGACGGAGAGAGACUGAGAGAAACAGCGAGAGAGAGCGAGCUGAUGAACUAUGUAAAUAAACUUAAAUAAUGAGAAGUCUUUUUGGGACAAAUCAAACUAUUCAGACUUCAGAUCAAUUACUGAAGAUAGAAAUUUUAAUGUCAGUGCUCUGUGUUGGACAGCUGAUGUAAAGCUGUUUGUCAUUUACCUGGAGGUCUCUGUCCUGGUCUCAAAGAACUUCUUCAUCGUAUGAAGACUCAGCAAUCGUGGACGAUGUCUCUCUGAUUGUGGACUACGCCUCUAUGAUCAUCGACAAUGUCUCUCUGACUGUGUGCGAUGCCGUCAAAUCGGUGACCCCAGUCUCUGCCGAUUCUUGCACAGAUCUCUGCGAAUCAUGGACAAUGUCACUCUCAUCUUUGACAAGGUCUCUGCGGUCAUGGACAAUGUCUCUGAUGGUGGACGAUGUCUCAGUGAUCAUGGACUAUGUCAUGGGCGAAGUGGUGACACCUGGAUGAAAUCAAAGUGAAACAUACAAAGGAAAAUGAUCAAUACACUACUACCUAUUCCUCAUCAACAGUUUAACCAUGAAAAAACACUAUAUUCAACAUUACAGCUAAACCAGAACAUUAGUUUAGGAGUGUCUCAGAAAAUUGUCUGUUUACCGUUACAAAUGACAAGAAAAAGCAUCAAAUCUUUAAUAAUCAAUAACAAUAAAUAUCUGGGAAAAAAAUAACUAAAAUGAUUGUCUUAAAUCUUAAAUUUCUAUAUUAAUUGCCAGUCAUCUAAUCACUGAAGGAAUUGUG